rnacentral:rRNA from 1 species
UGAGGAAUAUUGGUCAAUGGACGCAAGUCUGAACCAGCCAAGUAGCGUGCAGGAUGACGGCCCUAUGGGUUGUAAACUGCUUUUAUAUGGGGAUAAAGUGGGGAACGUGUUCCCUUUUGCAGGUACCAUAUGAAUAAGGACCGGCUAAUUCCGUGCCAGCAGCCGCGGUAAUACGGAAGGUUCGGGCGUUAUCCGGAUCUAUUGGGUUUAAAGGGAGCGUAGGCCGUUUGGUAAGCGUGUUGUGAAAUGUAAGAGCUCAACUUUUAGAUUGCAGCGCGAACUGGCAGACUUGAGUGCGCACAACGUAGGCGGAAUUCAUGGUGUAGCGGUGAAAUGCUUAGAUAUCAUGACGAACUCCGAUUGCGAAGGCAGCUUACGGGAGCGCAACUGACGCUAAAGCUCGAAGGUGCGGGUAUCGAACAGG